rnacentral:lncRNA from 1 species
AGUUCAAUUAAUUAAAAAUAAGAAAGCCCAAUUUAAUUAAUUGAAGGCAAAUUAAAAUCCUUAAAUAAAAUAAGGCCCAACAAAUUUAUUAAUUAAUAGCCCAACUGAAACAAAAAUAAAUAAAAUCUCGGCCCAAAUACUCAUAAAAAUCGGCCCAUGACUCGAGCCCACUCUAAUUAAAAUCGGCCCACAACUCGAGCCCACUCUAAUUAAAAUCGGCCCACUACCAAGCCCAUCACUCAAACCCA